rnacentral:rRNA from 1 species
ACUCAAAUGAAUUGACGGGGAUCCGCACAAGCAGUGGAUUAUGCGGUUUAAUUCGAUGCAACGCGAAGAACCUUACCAGGGAUUGACAUGCCGAGAAUUUUUCAGAGAUGGAAAAGUGCCUGCGAAGGAACUCGGACACAGGUGGUGCAUGGCUGUCGUCAGCUCGUACCGUAAGGCGUAGAGUUAAGUCUCGCAACGAGCGCAACCCUCGUCUUUAGUUGCCAUUUGGGACUCUAGAGAGACUGCCGGUGCAAGCCGGAGGAAGGAGAGGAUGACGUCAAGUCAGCAUGCCCCUUACAUCCUGGGCUACACGCGUAAUACAAUGGCCGAGACAAUCGGAAGCGACCUCGUGAGAGCGAGCGAAUCUGUCAAACUCGGCCUCAGUUCGGAUUGUAGGCUGCAACUCGCCUACAUGAAGCCGGAAUUGCUAGUAAUCGCCAGUCAGCUAUAUGGCGGUGAAUACGUUCCCGGAUCUUGUACACACCGCCCGU